rnacentral:lncRNA from 1 species
GUUUAACGUAUUACAACAAUCUUAUCAUGUCUCAGAAAAUCCAAUGAUUCCUGAGGAGUUUAAAGUAUUGCAACAAUCAUAUCUUAUCUCAGAGAAUCCAAUGAUUCCUGAGGAGUUUAGAGUAUUACAAAAAUCUCAUCAUGUCUCAGAGAAUCCAGUGAUUCUGAGGAUUUUAAAGUAUUACAACAAUCUCAUUAUGUUUCAAUUAUUAUAACAAUCUUAUUAUAUCUCAGAAAAUCCAAUGAUUCCUCAGGAGUGUAACGUAUUACAACAAUAUUAUCAUAUCUCAGAGAAUCCAAUGAUUCCAGAGGAGUUUCAAUUAUUACAAAAAUCUUAUCAUAUCUCAGAGAAUACAAUGAUUCCUGAGGAGUUUAACAUAUUACAACAAUCUUAUCAUAUCUCAGAGAAUCCAAUGAUUCCUGGGGGUUUCAAUUAUUACAAAAAUCUUAUCAUAUCUCAGAGAAUCCAAUGAUUCCUACGGAGUUUAACAUGUUACAACAAUCUUAUCAUGUCUGAGAGAAUCCAAUGAUUCCUGAGGAGUUUAACGUAUUACAACAAUCUUAUCAUGUCUCAGAAAAUCCAAUGAUUCCUGAGGAGUUUAAAGUAUUGCAACAAUCAUAUCGUAUCUCAGAGAAUCCAAUGAUUCCUGAGGAGUUUAAU